GACAGAGGCCACAAGCGUUAGGCGGAAUCACUGGGCUUAAAGCGUGUGUAGGCGGAUGCCUAAGUGCUUUGUGAAAUCCCACGGCUCAACCGUGGAAUUGCUUGGCAUACUGGGCGUCUUGAGCCAUCUAGGGGCAGCUGGAACAAACGGUGGAGCGGUGAAAUGCGUAGAUAUCGUUUGGAACGCCAAAGGUGAAAACAGGCUGCUGGGGAUGCGCUGACGCUGAGACACGAAAGCCAGGGGAGCAAACGGGAUUAGAAACCCCCGUAGUCC
rnacentral:rRNA from 1 species